GGAAAAAAGAAACUACGAUUGAAGUUGCCCCAGCUUCAUCGCUGCCGCCGACGCCGACGCCCAGGCCCUUGCCGGCGCAUGUCCCUGGUCCGGGGAUGGCGGCGCGGCACAGGCGAGGCGCGGGACCGGCUAAGCGGCGCAGCGGUGGCGUCAUCUUCAUCGCUGCCGCCGACGCCGCCGCCGCCGCCGAGGGCCACCCCCCGCCGCCGCAUGUCACUUGGUCCGGCGAUGGCGGCGCGGCACGUUUGGGGCGGGGUUCGGGUAAACGGCGCAGCAUCAAGGAGUGGGGACGACUGGGAGGCGCGGGGCCGGCGUAGGGCACGAGCGCACAGCCGCUGGGCGAGCUCGCGCCGCCGCCGGCGACAUACGAGACCCCACCCGGCAAGAAGUGGCCCGUUCUCCCAUCCCUCAAAUUCGCGCCACGGACACCGGCUCCGGCCUCUAGGAAGCGAGAUGCCACCCACCUGCAGGAUACAGCUCGGCGAGGUCCGACACCGCUGGCAAGCCGCUCUGCUCCUGCAAUUCAUCAUACUCUGAGCUCUUGACAUAAAUAAGAAUUCAGACCAAGUGGGAUGCAACGCGGGGGACGGUGCCCACCAGGGAUUCAGUCUAAGGGAGAAUUCAAGGGAGGAUAUCACCCGUUUGCGGCGAAGCAAGUCCGGGUUAUUCCAAAGUUUAAUAAUAUCAAAAUGCUGCACAAAAGGGGCGGUGGACGUCGCGGGGGGGCGAGCUGCUCGUACGCCACGCCGGGAUGACGACGAGAUCACCACGGCGCCGGGAGCCGGGACGCAGAGGGGUGCGGCGAAUUACUCUGCUCGCGCGCGGCCGACGGCAGAUGCUGGCCAUUCAGACUUGAGCUGGGAGAGAUCACCAUCAGGAGCACUCCGAUCGCCGAGCUGAGGAAAUCGAUUGACCACUCUUACCUGCAGUGCUGUUAGAUGAUCUUCAGUUGUUCUAGUACUCCUGCUGCUACUUGCGCUAUAUAUGCUAUGUCGAGGCCUGCAGAUCUCUUCCUAUGCUAGAACUUAAUGUCAUUAUGACCUUACUUUGUUUCUUGAGUGCCAGUUACAUGUGUGGAUUGAGGUUCUGUAUGAAGUUACUCUGGUUACAA